UGGCGGACGGGUGAGUAACGCGUGGGUAACCUGCCUUGUACUGGGGGACAACAGUUGGAAACGACUGCUAAUACCGCAUAAGCGCACAGCUUCGCAUGAAGCAGUGUGAAAAACUCCGGUGGUACAAGAUGGACCCGCGUCUGGUUAGCUGGUUGGUGAGGUAACGGCCCACCAAGGCAACGAUCAGUAGCCGGCCUGAGAGGGUGAACGGCCACAUUGGGACUGAGACACGGCCCAA
rnacentral:rRNA from 1 species